CAGCCGCCGCGGUAAUACGUAGGUGGCAAGCGUUGUCCGGAAUUAUUGGGCGUAAAGGGCUCGCGGGCGGUUUCUUAAGUCUGAUGUGAAAGCCCCCGGCUCAACCGGGGAGGGUCGUUGGAAACUGGGAAACUUGAGUGCAGAAGAGGAGAGUGGAAUUCCACGUGUAGCGGUGAAAUGCGUAGAGAUGUGGAGGAACACCAGUGGCGAAGGCGACUCUCUGGACUGUAACUGACGCUGAGGAGCGAAAGCGUGGGGAGCGAACAGGAUUAGAUACCCCAGUAGUCCCUGUCUCUUAUAC
rnacentral:rRNA from 1 species